CACUUGGCUGCCUAUUGUUCACAAGAUAGAGGAAAAGCUUUCUUUUUGGAAAGGCAAAGUGCUCCCUAUGGUUGGAAGGCUUACUUUGAUUAAAUAAUGCCUAUCCAGUAUGCUCAUCUGUUAUCCUUCCAUCUUUAAAAUCCCUACGAAGGUUGCCCGAAGAAUGAGAAGCUUAUGCAACCUUUUUUAUGGUAUGGGGAUGUGACUUCACAUAAACUCCAUCUUGUAAAUUGGAAUACACUGCUUCAACCAAAAGUUAAUGGAAGGCUUGGCAUCAAAGAUAUAUUGCUUCAUAACCAAGCUUUAUUGUUCGAGUGGUUGUGGCAUUUCACACACUUCAUAACUUUCUAUGGGUUCAAAUUCUACAGUCAAGAUACAAUUUUCAGUCCGAAUGUGGUAUUCCUUUGGAUACCGGUUCGGUUCAGUAUUGGGAAUGGUUGUGCCUAAUAAAUGGGUCCCACGUCUUAAAUUCCCCUUUAGUAGUUUAUUUAAUCUCUCUUUGAAUCAAGGAGCAGCUGUCAAUGAUAUGGGCUUAUCGAGAGGUGGUAAUUGGAACUGGAACUCUGAAUGGCACAAAAAUUUAUUUUGACUAGGAGCUUCAACUAUUGGCUCAACUUCUUAAUCUUAUCAGUCAUGUGUAGCCGUGCUCUACAAGAGAGGAUAAGCUGAUUUGGCAACCUGUGACAAAUGGUGUCUUCUCAGUGAAAUUAAGGUACAAUUGCCUUCUUAGCUCCUCAAGUGAUUUGUCAGUUAGCUUUCCAAAUGUUUGGCUAGGUCUAGCUGCACCGAAAGUGGAAAUCUUGGCAUGGUUGGCUUGCAAUGAGAAGGUCUGUUCCAAAGAUUGGUUGUGUUAAUUCGAUUUGCAGGUCAGUUUGGAGUUUGUUUUUGCAAUGGUGGGGCUUAAGUUUUUGCCUUCCUAAAUCAGUUUCCUCUCUUUUGUUAUAAUAGAGAUCAAUGGUUUUGGGUAAAUUAAUCAAAGGUAUGGACCAUUCUCUUUUUUGCAGUUUUAUGGUCAGUUUAGAUUGCUAGGAAUGAGAAGGUGUUUGAAGAUAAAGAUUCCAUUGUGCUUGAUGUUUUCACCUCUAUUCUUUACCAUGUUUCUGUUCGGUUGAAGGCUUUAGACUGGGGUUUCCCGUGUACGGGUUAGGAUUUAUUAUUUCACCUUCAUCCAUUAAACUUUGGAAUAAUCAUUCUAAGUCAGGGGCAAAAGUAUUUUGGUCCCCACCUGCCCAUUAUUUUUUUGAAAUGGAAUAUAGAUGGGUCUUCAGUUGGAAAGUUUGGGCCAUAUGCGGUGGGAGGUGCUCUACGUAACUCAUCGGGCGACUUUCUUUUCAUGUUUUCUUGCCCAGCUGGCAAUAGAGAAUCAAAUGCCACUGAAUUCUUAACAAUUGAGAAAGCUCUGUCAAUUUUGUCUCAGAAGGUGGAUGUUUGGGCCUCUUCUUUGGGAAUUUUUGUUAAAUCCGACUCAAAAAUUACAGUUUCGUGGGUGAAAAAUGCAAGUCUUGUUCCUUGGCAUUUUAGUUCUAUUUCUAAUUCCAUUUGCGGCAAAAUAGAUAUGUUGCCCUCUGUUUCAUUUUUUUAUUCUCUGCAUGAAUCUAACUUUGUAGUUGACACACUGGCAAAACAAGGCAUUCAUUGCAGUAGGGACUUUGUAGCUUGGCUAUUGUGAAUCUGUUGCCCUUUGGGUAGGUGUGCUGUCAGCAACCCCCCUUUAUGUUAUUGUUCCUCCUUACUGCUGACUUUGUUUCUCUGCUAGUUUUUGGGUUUGCUUCA